AUUGAACGCUGGCGGCAUGCCUUACACAUGCAAGUCGAACGGCAGCACGGGAGCUUGCUCCUGGUGGCGAGUGGCGAACGGGUGAGUAAUACAUCGGAACGUACCCUGAAGUGGGGGAUAACGUAGCGAAAGUUACGCUAAUACCGCAUAUUCUGUGAGCAGGAAAGAGGGGGAUCGCAAGACCUCUUGCUUUAGGAGCGGCCGAUGUCGGAUUAGCUAGUUGGUGAGGUAAAGGCUCACCAAGGCGACGAUCCGUAGCGGGUCUGAGAGGAUGAUCCGCCACACUGGGACUGAGACACGGCCCAGACUCCUACGGGAGGCAGCAGUGGGGAAUUUUGGACAAUGGGCGCAAGCCUGAUCCAGCCAUGCCGCGUGAGUGAAGAAGGCCUGGUGUAAGCGUCUUCGUGGGAGAA
rnacentral:rRNA from 1 species